rnacentral:tRNA from 1 species
GGAGAGGUGACCGAGUGGUCUAUGGUAACGGUUUACUAAACCGUCGUAUCGCAAGAUACCGCGAGUUCGAAUCCCUCCCUCUCCGCCA